CAUUACAGAAAUCCCAAUUAAGCAAGAGCUCAGCACGACUGGCCGAGCAGACCAAUGAGUAGUCAUACUCGUUGAUCAAUAAUCCUCACAGCCUGACCAACUGUGGGGAAUGAGCGUGUUUGCGUGACACGGCACGCAUUCACGGUGAAGAGAGAAAAAGCGAAAAAAAGAGCUACCCUAAAGCUCAUGAAAAUGGUUUGAUCGCGUAUCCCGGCGCUUUCUUCCAUAUAUAUAAAGCAUUGCACAAAUAAUGAGUUUUGAGCUGGGGCUCAUUAGUGCACAUUACGAUUGCAUGGUUGUGGCAACCGGUGAUCGUUAACUGCAGCUUUGUCUGCCUACGGUGGAGCGAUCCAGUUCUGCCUUUCGCCUGUGCCUGGUACAUUCGUGUACCUACGCACAGUUCUGGUUGUGACAGGGUGCCUACCCGUCUGAUGCUCUUUGUUAUGCUUGCCGUCUGUAGAUGGUCAGUCCAUAUCAGGAGUGACGGGAUGUGCUGUCAAAAUUGGCAGUGCUAGGCUUAAUGAGUGGUUCGACAUAACGAGCUACGGCUCAGCCACCGCCCUGUUUGCUGUUUGUUGCAACAAAAUCCCAUAUUACACUGUUCAAGUGGUUCAGAUCGGACAUUGCUCACCCAACCGGUUUGAAUCAUUGCCCGACAUGCACCUGGUCUCGUACUGGAAUGCAUGUGCAGUCGCCUGGCGGUGCCUUAUCCUGGGCUAGACUGAGUAACCAAGCGUCGCUCAUCCGAAUCCCUGGAUGUUCGAUGUGAGUACAACUCUGUGCGGUGGAUCACUCGGCUCGUGUGUCGAUGAAGAGCGCAGCCAACUGUGUGAAUUAAUGUGAACUGCAUACUGCUUUGAACAUCGACAUCUUGAACGCAUAUUGCGGCCAUGGGUUAGCCUGUGGCCACGCCUGUCCGAGGGUCGGCUUAUAAACUAUCGCGACGCCCAAAAAGUCGCGGCUUGGGUCUUGCCAGCUGGCGUGAUAUCCCCUAUUUGGUCUUGUGCCUUUGUGGGGUGCCAGAACUAUGGCGUUUCCCUAAUGUACCCGGACGCACCAUGUUACGGCUAAAAGCCUUGACGAGAUGUGUCGAUAGAGUCGUGGCUCAGUUAUAUAUUUUAUGUGCGCGCUCUACCGUCAUGUUUUGUCUAUGGUUGGCUUGCUGUGGGUGGUUGUGUACCGAUGCUGACUAAUGUAUGUGCCAUAUGGCUCAUCAUUU
rnacentral:misc_RNA from 1 species